AGUGAACGCUGGCGGUAGGCCUAACACAUGCAAGUCGAACGGCAGCACAGUAAGAGCUUGCUCUUACGGGUGGCGAGUGGCGGACGGGUGAGGAAUACAUCGGAAUCUACUUUUUCGUGGGGGAUAACGUAGGGAAACUUACGCUAAUACCGCAUACGACCUACGGGUGAAAGCAGUGGAUCUUCGGACCUUGCGCGAUUGAAUGAGCCGAUGUCGGAUUAGCUAGUUGGCGGGGUAAUGGCCCACCAAGGCGACGGUCCGUAGCUGGUCUGAGAGGGUGGCCGGCCAGACUGGAAGAGAGACACGGUCCGGACUGAUAUGGGGCGCAGAAGGCGGGAAGAGGGAGCAGUGGGGGAAAGUCUAAUCCAGGCAGAACGCGGGGGUAGAAAAGGCGUUUGGGGUGUAAAGGCCUUUGGGUGGGAAAGAAAAGCCGCAGGUGAAGACCCGGCUGUUCUGGCGAUACGCAAAGAAUAAGCACCGGCUAACUUC
rnacentral:rRNA from 1 species